UUUCGUAGGCGACCCUCUGAAAAGGAAAUUUACGGAAUAAUAAAAAUGUGUUGGAGCGCACAUGGCAGGCAUUAGCAAAUCAUGACCGGCAG
rnacentral:lncRNA from 1 species